GGGAGUAUGGAGAUGAGAGAGAAACAAAUUAGAAAAGUGAGGAAGGUGAAUUAGGGUUAGGCAAGUGUUUCUGAUUUUUUUAAUUGGGGCUACAGUAGGGAUGACAGAGAAAAGGUUUGAGUGAGAGGGAUGAAAAAGAAAGAUUUGAGAGGAAUGGGAGGGGUGAGUAAGGGUUUUGGGGGUUUCUUGUUUUUUUCUAGUUUUGGGAAAGAAAAUUAUUCAAAUAUCCUUGACCUUGAACUUAGAAUCCAUAAUAUAUGAGGGUAUGUUUGUCUUCUAAAAGCCCUGGUACACAUUGCUAAAAUGUACCAACUGAAAAAGUAGUUGUCAAACUUUUGGGAAGCAUACCAAUAGUCAACUGUAGUAUAAUGAUUUUUAAGUAAGAGUGUCGAU
rnacentral:lncRNA from 1 species